CGCUGAGGAUGGCUUUUACCCAGUCUAGAACGCUGGGGGAAUAAGGAGAGGGCAAGUCUGGUGUCAGCCGCCGCGGUAAUACCAGCUCUCCGAGUGGUGUGGAUGUUUAUUGGGCCUAAAGCAUCCGUAGCUGGCCAAGUAAGUCCCUUGUUAAACCCACCGAAUUAAUCGUUGGAUUGCGGGGGAUACUGCUCGGCUAGGGGACGAGAGAGGCAGACGGUAUUUUCGGGGUAGGGGUGAAAUCCUAUAAUCCCGGGAAGACCACCAGUGGCGAAGGCUGUCUGCUAGAACGCGCCCGACGGUGAGGGAUGAAAGCUGGGGGAGCGAACCGGAUUAGAUACCCGGGUAGUCCCAGCUGUAAACGAUGCAGGCUAGGUGUUUGGGCGGCCACGUGCCGCUCUAGUGCCGCAGGGAAGCUGUUAAGCCUGCCGCCUGGGGAGUACGGUCGCAAGAUUGAAACUUAAAGGAAUUGGCGGGGGAGCACCACAAGGGGUGAAGCUUGCGGUUUAAUUGGAGUCAACGCCGGAAUCUCACCGGGAGCGACAGCAGUUUGNGGCCAGAUGAGGUCUUGCCAGACGAGCUGAGAGGAGGUGCAUGCCAAU
rnacentral:rRNA from 1 species